GAACUGCGAUAAGUAAUGUGAAUUGCAGAAUUCAGUGAAUCAUCGAGUCUUUGAACGCACAUUGCGCCCCCUGGUAUUCCGGGGGGCAUGCCUGUCCGAGCGUCAUUGCUGCCCUCAAGCCCGGCUUGUGUGUUGGGCCGCCGUCCCCCGCGGGGACGGGCCCGAAAGGCAGCGGCGGCACCGCGUCCGGUCCUCGAGUGUAUGGGGCUUCGUCACCCGCUCGAUUAGGGCCGGCCGGGCGCCAGCCGGCGUCUCCACCCUUUAAUUUUCUCAGGUUGACCUCGGAUCAGGUAGGGAUACCCGCUGAACUUAAGC
rnacentral:misc_RNA from 1 species